rnacentral:rRNA from 1 species
CCUACGGGAGGCAGCAGUAGGGAAUAUUGCUCAAUGGGGGAAACCCUGAAGCAGCAACGCCGCGUGGAGGAUGAAGGUUUUAGGAUUGUAAACUCCUUUUGUGCGAGAAGAUAAUGACGGUAUCUCACGAAUAAGCACCGGAUAACUCCGUGCCAGCAGCCGCGGUAAUACGGCGGGUGCAAGCGUUACUCGGAAUAACUGGGCGUAAAGGGUGUGUAGGCGGGUUUGUAAGUUAGAUGUGAAAUCCUGUGGCUUAACUACAGAACUGCAGUUGAAACUGUGAGUCUAGAGUGUGGGAGAGGUAGGUGGAAUUCUUGGUGUAGGGGUAAAAUGCGUAGAUAUCGAGAAGAAUACUGAUUGCGAAGGCGACCUACUGGAACAUAACUGACGCUGAGGCACGAAAGCGUGGGGAGCAAACAGGAUUAGAUACCCUGGUAGUC